rnacentral:rRNA from 1 species
AACGUAGGAGACAAACGUUAUCCGGAGUUACUGGGCGUAAAGGGCGUGUAGGUGGUUUCGUAAGUCUGGCGUGACAUUUUUCGGCUUAACCGGGAAAGGUCGUCGGAUACUGCGGAGCUAGAGGACGGUAGAGGCGUGUGGAAUUCCGGGUGUAGUGGUGAAAUGCGUAGAGAUCCGGAGGAACACCAGUGGCGAAGGCGACACGCUGGGCCGCACCUGACACUGAUGCGCGACAGCAUGGGGAGCAAACAGG